rnacentral:rRNA from 1 species
GACGAACGCUGGCGGCGUGCUUAACACAUGCAAGUCGAACGGUGAAGGGACCGGCUUUUGCUGGUUCUGGAUGAGUGGCGAACGGGUGAGUAACACGUGAGUAACCUGCCCCCUUCUUCUGGAUAACCGCAUGAAAGUGUGGCUAAUACGGGAUAUUCUGGGUCUGUCGCAUGGCGGGCCUGGGAAAGAUGCGCCUUUGGGUGUUUUUGGUGGGGGAUGGGCUCGCGGCCUAUCAGCUUGUUGGUGGGGUGAUGGCCUACCAAGGCGGUGACGGGUAGCCGGCCUGAGAGGGUGGACGGUCACACUGGGACUGAGACACGGCCCAGACUCCUACGGGAGGCAGCAGUGGGGAAUAUUGCACAAAUGGGCGCAAAG